GCCAAUGACCAUAACACGUUGAAUACACCGGUUCUCGUCCGAUCACUGAAGUCAAGCAAUGUCGGACGUAGUCAGUACUUGGAUGUGUGACCGUCUAGGAACAUUAAGUACGUAUAAC